UACAGAGGGUGCGAGCGUUAAUCGGAAUUACUGGGCGUAAAGCGCACGUAGGCGGCUUGGUAUGUCGGGUGUGAAAUCCCCGGGCUCAACCUGGGAACUGCAUCCGAAACUGCCUUGCUCGAGUAUGGGAGAGGGAAGUGGAAUUUCCGGUGUAGCGGUGAAAUGCGUAGAUAUCGGAAGGAACAUCAGUGGCGAAGGCGACUUCCUGGACCAAUACUGACGCUCAGGUGCGAAAGCGUGGGGAGCAAACAGGAUUAGAAACCCCAGUAGUCC
rnacentral:rRNA from 1 species